GGUGUGCCUGACCAUGCUUGCAAGAUCGUGGUCAGGGUGAUGUAGAGUGAGACUUUCAGGGGACUGCAUUUCUCUUUCGGUUUCACUUUUGUACUUGCUGGACAGACUGCUGCCACGCCGGCUGGCUAGGUUGCUCUGGUCUGCGUAUGUCACACAGGUUGGCUUGGAACUAUGUAACCCAGGCUGCCUUAGCCUCCAAGAUGUGUUUAAAUUACAGGCAUGAACCACCACAACCCUCCACCUCUGUUUUCUCUCAGAAUAAACACAUCCAGAAAAACAAGCAAAUGAGGGAUGUUCAAGACUACCGUUUGACACCAGAGUCACUGAGGACCCUAUCAAAGCAAUGGCCCCAUCAUAACUAAUCACUUUAAUAUGAACUCAAUCCAUUCUAGCUGGAAAUGUGAGAGAACAAACAUCAGCUACUGGUUCUUCAUGUUGGGAGGGAGGUCAGGUGGUUAGGCGUUUCUGAUCCCUAGCACAGCUUCAGUAGAUCACCACAGUUUACAAACAAAUGCCAUGAGCACAGAGGGAGCAGAG
rnacentral:lncRNA from 1 species